CCCAAAGAUACAUAACAAACACCCGAAGCACCCCCAAAUGAAACAACAAAGGACAUCAAAGUGGUUAGAAAUUGUGGGAAUCAAGUUUAUUAACAGCAGAAACUAGCACACAAAGACAAAAAGAGAGCUGGGCCAGCCGACCGCCAUAGCCGAAGGCGGCGGUCGGCCGGCCAAAAAUGAGGCCCCGGGGGUGGAGGUUUUGAGAGAGAGAGAGAGAGAGAGAGA